rnacentral:lncRNA from 1 species
AUGACAAUAAUCCCACAUGAAAACUAUGGGCCAGAUUUACUAACAGCUUCCACUAGCGCAAACCCUCUUUUGGCAUUAAAAAACUAUUUUCAGGAUUUACUAAAGACACGAUUAGUGAUGAAAAGGUGUGGACAGAGUUGUUCUGACCUUACUGCAUACACAUUUGUAGGAGUUUCCAUUUCAGAUGCAAGGUAUGUUUUGAUGCUGUUUUUUCAGCAGGGUAUGGAAGGAGGGUAUUUACUAUGAUUUACUAAGGUUUGCUCUAGUAAGAUUACCCCCCCAACCCCCCCAAAAAAGCAUGUCUUAACCCAUAUUGCACCUGUGUUGUUAGUAGAUUACACACACCUAUUUAGCAUCAGCUCAGCUUGUUUGCAACCCUACGCUAAUUUGCGCUGGCGUGAAGGAAACUCUUGCACCAUGAAAUGUGACAGAGGCUGUUGUUUGCAGACAGAAAGCAGGAAGGAGGUUUAAAUUCCACCAGCAGCGAUUGUGAGGUGUCUAAGGCUAAUCUCAAUGAACUCUGCUGAAUAAUAUCCUCUUACCAUUGCUCAAUACUUCUGAUUCAGGCAUCUGAAUUUUCCCUCAGGAAUUAAUGAAGUAAGGUACCCAACGUUUUCCCGCCAAUUUCACUGUAUUCCUUGUCCAACUUUGUGUGUAAAUAUAAACAGCACAUUUCAUUUCAACCUGCUUAUUAGAAAUAUUUGGCAAACACUUCUUCCUUAUGCUUUGUCUGUGACUAAAAUAAUAAUUUGUGGUGCUUGCUAAGACAAACAAAACUUAUUAUUGCUCAAAAGUUAUCAUUGCUCCAAGUUAAACUUUGGAUGGCAUUUCUGGAUGCGGGUUUUUGUAUAGGCACUUACAUAUUCUUCAGGAAAACUCAAGAUUUGGCUGAUCCAAAAGCUGCAUAAAAACUAAUAUAUAUAAAAUUCCAAAUAUUCCUCCAACUGGGAAAUUAACACAGCGUAUGUCCAACAAAACCUUACCUUUGAAUGUUAAGAAUCAAGUGGGCUCUUGGCAGAGGCUAAACCUCAAAGUCUGUAAGGAUAGGAUCAAAUUAAAAACAAAUGAUACAAGAUUCGAGGUCUAUCCAAAACCAGAGAGAAUGAGCUAAUUUUCUGAGGAAUGAUGGUGUGCCGUUACUAUUGCUGAGCUAUUUUGGAUUAACCUUUUAUUCUGAUUGUGCUCGCGCUAGCUACCAUGCUACAUGUAUUUACUAGUAAUUUAUGCACUCUCCCAUAAUUAGCUGCAGGCUUCAGCUGAAACCGUUUCAAGAGUAUAAACACUCAAAGAAACACAGAUAGAUAGAUAGAUAGAUAGAUAGAUAGAUAGAUAGAUAGAUAGAUAGAUACUGUACAACCACCACCCAAUUUUUGUAACCAGGUUGCACAUGUGCAUUGACUUGGUUUUGCACUAAUCUGUUGUUCCACAAGGUGGCAACACUGGCCCGGGCGCUGUUUCACAGUAGAAAACAAACUAAAGUGAUGGAACAAACAACAAACAACAAAAAUAGACGGAGAUUGCAACAACAACAGACGGCCACAUUGACAAGCACUUGUGUGAGGGGUGUGAGAUAGCAGCAAACUUUAGUUGUUCCACAAGGUGGCAACACUGGCCCGGGCCGCUGUUUCACAGUAGAAAACAAAACUAAAGUGAUGGAACAACAACAACAACAAAAUAGCGGAGAUUGCAACAACAACAGACGGCCACAUUGACAAGCACUUGUGUGAGGGGGUUGUGAGAUAGCAGCAACUUUAGUUUAAAAGGCUACAAAGAUAUUUCCAUCUGUCAUAAUUUCAGGAGAAAUAUAGCACAGCUGGAGUAAGAUGUACCUUCCUAGAGCUCAUGUGUUGACCUCGUGCAUUCGCACACUCUAUCAUAAAUAUAAACCUGUGCCUUUUGACUGUACACAUACAGUAUGCUAGUGUACACAUAUAAAACUAAAGUAUACUAUGGGCUUUACAUUUCCAUCGGUUCUUCACAGAAAGUGACUGUGUUGCUUCAAACACAUUGUACUGUAACACUGCACUACUAUUCAUUUCAAUACUUUAUUCUUGUUUUUCUAUUAGUGGCAUUCAGAGUGGAAAGCAAAGUAAGAAUUUCAUUGUACUGGGAAUGUCCAUUUGACUAAAGCGUUUGAACUUUGAAAACUAACAAAAUGGUCAUCUGGAUUACCUUCAUGCUAUCUUUUGAUCCUUAUUGGAGCUUGUGAGACAUUGACUUUCAUUAUAUGGACAAAAAAAGCUGAAACAUUCUUCCAAAUAUCUUGUUUUAUGUUUCACAACCAAAUGAAAGUCAUACAGGUUUGGAUAUGAUAUGAGGGUGAGUAAAAUAUGGCUUUACUUUUGGGGCCACUGUAUAGUGAAGUGACAGAAAAGAUUAGCUAGUAACUAAUGCAUUGUUGAGGCUUAAAGGCAUGCAGGUGGUUAUCAGAAGACUUGGGCCUUGAUUUUACACCAUGGAAACUGAUAACACUGAGGUUACACAUUCCAUGCAGCUGGGCACUGAACGCUGAAGGGGAUAAGAUGUUUCUAGCCCCCACCUCGCUUUCUCUAAUCAAAGACUUGCAUUUAUAUGGCAAGAAAUGCUAUUUUUAACAUGGUAGGAUUUGAUAGUAAAGUUCAAAUUAUUAUUAUUAUUUUUUUAAAGAACUGUUUUUUUCCUGGUAUUCUCUAUGUAGCUAUACAGCUAUGGAAGAAUUGGAAUAUAUUUUAAACCUUGUGUUUGAAUCUUGUUCUUCCGGGGGAAAUUUAAGGUGCAAUUCAAACGCAAAGUAAACAAACAACACCACUACACAAUCAAAGUGAGCCGAAUUGGAAUAUAUUUUUAAACCUUGUGUUUUGAAUCUUGUUUCUUCCCGGGGGAAAUUUAAGGUGCAAUUCAAACGCAAAGUAAACAAACAACACCACUACACAAUCAAAGUGAGCCACAAAAGACCUCCCAUCUGCCAAACACAGAGGACAACUGUGUCCUCACCAAAUCUCCCAUCUGGGACGACGGAGGAAGGAAAACAAACCUUCUUUCCCCACCCCAGUAAAACAAUAACCUGAGGCUUUGGAAGAAAGUGAGUGAAUUCACAGUGAAAUCUCCAAAUCUUGCUCCUAAACCCCCUGGGUGUCCUGCAAUGUACUUUGCUAUGCUUGAUUCUUUCACUUAGUUUGGCACAUUUAGCCUGUAAGACUAAAAACAAUGAGGAGCUUUCAUGGAAGGUAACAGGAAAACAACGCUUUCCUCAAAACUAUGAAGGGAAUAAAACCAUGCCAGGUUUUAAACAAAGUCCUUCUCUAAGGAUUUCAGAUGGCAAGAACAGUCUACCUACUGUGGUAUUUAACUAAGGACCAGCAAGAGCCGCCUUCGCUCUUGUAAAUCUCAGAGUUUGUUGAGUCUCAGCUGAGGUGCUUUAAUAAACUUCAGAAUAAACGUCGACCCCCAAAACCUACUUCCACAGCUAGGACGCAGACUGGCAGAAUCGCUAACAUCUGGAUGGCACGUUUCUCUGGAUAUAAUACCGCCUUUGUUCUUUUGCCAUGGUUGUGAUCAGCAGGCUAGCUUUGAAGGACCAGCCAAAAACUUACGAGUUACGAGGGUACUGGAUAAAGUGUCAAUGUGACUAAGUAGUUUAUUAAUAAUCUCUCAUCUUACCAUUUUCGGUAAAGUAGUUACGCAUUCCCACUGUAAAGCAUUUGCAUACUUUUGUGGCAAUACAAAAAUGCUCUCAAGACACUUUUUUUGGAUUGAAUGAGUAUUUUGCAGUAAAUAGCCUACAUGAUAUAAGAUAUGAUAAAGGAAAAAUAACCAAAUUAUUGUAAAUCUCCAUAAUGUCUUUGUUAGAACUGCCAAGGACAGUAAUCUUUCUACUGCAUUGCAUGACAACAUGGAUUCUACAUCCCAUACUAUUUAAUCAUACAAAUUACAAAAUAUUAAACACAAAUCUCGUAUUUUGCUUUGGAUUUGAUUAAGAAACUCACAUUUUGUGUUGAUCUCAAUUGAUAUGAUGGUCUGCAUACAGAAUACUAAACACAUGCUGUUUUAAUAUUGUUUUUGAAAGUUAAAUAAAACAUUACCAUACACGACAAAAUCAUCUUGAUUUUGUUAUUCUGUUAUAACGUUAGAUCUAAAAUUAAGACUUAAAGUUAAAUCAUGCAACUAAAUGUUUUAAAUUGUCAUGCUGAAUACUUAUUAACAUAAAACUGUUGUUUUUAAGUUACAUUAAUUAAUAAUUAGGUUUUCCGCAUGAAAAAUCUGUACGUUCUUACCUUUAUGAUUAAAUGUAGAAAAACAUUUAUCCACUUUUUGUCCGAGUCGAUGUUACAAUAACCAAAGUUUGUAACGUUACAAUAAAUUAGAAGGACACUGUAAUAUUCAGGGUUUUUCUCUGCAUUAAGCCUUACUAUACAGAAUCGUUUGCUAAAUAUAAACGAAAUGCUGUUAUAGUUUGUAUUUUUUAAAGCGGAAAAGUCUGAGAAAAUUAGCGGAUUGCAUCCGUAAGUAUCACCGCCCCACAGGAAAAAGUUUUCACGCUGUGCUGCAGUCAGUCCAUCCGAGCUAGAAUGUGGAAAACACGACCGUCUCAUCUACUCGCCGUAUUCUGUGAAGACCCGGCCUCAAUCUCUUAACUGUCCAAUCAGAGAGCGCUCUGAGAGGCUCCUAUUGGCCCAUCUCGUCGCAGGAGGCGGGACUUGUGUGAAUACGGGUCUCUUCCUCAAGAGGUCGCUUGACGGCUCAGAAACCCAAAGCCUUCGUUGAACUGUAUUAAUCUAAACCUUUUUUGUUUAUUUGGCUAUAUUUGCACAAUAACAGGUGUCAAUUAAAUCAUUUAAAUGAUUAAUCAUUAAAUUAAAAAUGGCCCCAGCAGUCUCUAUUUAAAAAUUAUUAUUCAAUAACAAACGGUUAACCAAAUUUGGUCAUCCUACAAGCGAUGAGAAAAGUAACACGCAACACGUGAGUUUCCUAAGCGGUUUGAAUACUAAUUUACUGGAGAGUAAUGACUCUUAUAAACUUUAAUAAGCAUUAAAAUAAAAAAAAAUAAAAAAUAAAAGACAAAACGUCUGAAUACAGAAAAAAAAAAAAAACAGUUUGAUGGAAGGCACAGAAAGGAAGAAAGUAAUGAU